rnacentral:rRNA from 1 species
GACGAACGCUGGCGGCGGGCUUAACACAUGCAAGUCGAACGGAAAGGCCCUGCUUUUGUGGGGUGCUCGAGUGGCGAACGGGUGAGUAACACGUGAGUAACCUGCCCUUGACUUUGGGAUAACUUCAGGAAACUGGGGCUAAUACCGUAUAGGAGCUCCUGCUGCAUGGUGGGGGGUGGAAAGUUUCGGCGGUUGGGGCUGGACUCGCGGCUUAUCAGCUUGUUGGUGGGGUAGUGGCUUACCAAGGCUUUGACGGGUAGCCGGCCUGGGAGGGUGACCGGCCACAUUGGGACUGAGAUACGGACCAGACUCCUACGGGAGGCAGCAGUGGGGAAUAUUGCACAAUGGGCGGAAGCCUGAUGAAGAAACGCCGCGUGCGGGAUGACGGCCUUCGGGUUGUAAACCGCUUUAGCCUGUGACGAAGCGUGAGUGACGGUAAUGGGUAAAGAAGCACCGGCUAACUACGUG